AGAGUUUGAUCCUGGCUCAGGAUGAACGCUAGCGGCAGGCCUAACACAUGCAAGUCGAGGGGUAACAGAGGUGCUUGCACUUGCUGACGACCGGCGCACGGGCGCGGAACGCGUAUGGAACCUACCUUUAUCAGGGGAAUAGCCCAGAGAAAUUUGGAUUAAUGCCCCAUAGUACUGUUUGAUUGCAUGAUUAAAUAGUUAAAGAUUUAUCGGAUAAAGAUGGCCAUGCGUACCAUUAGUUAGUUGGUAAGGUAACGGCUUACCAAGGCAUCGAUGGUUAGGGGCCCUGAGAGGGGGAUCCCCCACACUGGUACUGAGACACGGACCAGACUCCUACGGGAGGCAGCAGUGAGGAAUAUUGGACAAUGGAGGAGACUCUGAUCCAGCCAUGCCGCGUGCAGGAUGACGGCCCUAUGGGUUGUAAACUGCUUUUAUACAGGAAGAAACCUUUCCACGUGUGGAAAGCUGACGGUACUGUAAGAAUAAGGACCGGCUAACUCCGUGCCAGCAGCCGCGGUAAUAAGGGCGAAUUC
rnacentral:rRNA from 1 species